rnacentral:lncRNA from 1 species
GGAUCGCUUAGUCUCGCUUUUUCGACUAAAGACGAAGGCUCGACAAAAAGGAGUUUGGUAACCUCAUGAAUAAUAUAUCAAAAGAAAGGCAAAUAAUACCGGGGGUACCUUAAAAACAUUUGAUUUUUAUAGAAAAAUCUUAGGAUUGGUUUAAACUCAACAUUAACUAUAGCUUGAACUUUCUUAUUUUUGGUUCAAAUUUGACGUUAUGUCUAUGUACUUUAUGUUGAUUCCUUCCCAUUUUCAAAUGUCUGGAAUCUCGGAAAUUAGAUCAGUGACCAACUUAAAUUUUUCAAUUUUUCAUUAUCUUUUUAUAAUUUCUACGCGCAUACAAUUUCUUUUAAAAAUUGCAGGACAAGCCAUUUACUUACCUGUUACCUUUAGGAGGCUCACGGGUAUAAGAUUUUCAGAAAAAAAUUAAACAUUUAUUUUUCAUGAC